GUUCUAAGGGCGUUGAAGCAUGAUCGUAAGGACAUGUGGAGCGCUUAGAAGUGAGAAUGCCGGUGUGAGUAGCGAAAGACGGGUGAGAAUCCCGUCCACCGAUUGACUAAGGUUUCCAGAGGAAGGCUCGUCCGCUCUGGGUUAGUCGGGUCCUAAGCUGAGGCCGACAGGCGUAGGCGAUGGAUAACAGGUUGAUAUUCCUGUACCACCUAUA
rnacentral:rRNA from 1 species